rnacentral:rRNA from 1 species
GCUGUACCUAGCCCCAAACACUACAAACACAACAACAUCAAUCGUCACUUAAAACAAAACAUUUAUCACCAAUUAGAGUAUAGGAGAUAGAAAUUCUUACACGGCGCUAUAGAGAUAGUACCGUAAGGGAACAUUGAAAGAUACAAACCAAAGCAACAAACAGCAAAGAUUACCCCUUGUACCUUUUGCAUAAUGAUUUAACUAGCCACACUUAGCAAAAAGACAUUUAAGUUAAGUACCCCGAAACCAGACGAGCUAUUCAUAAGCAGCCUACAUGGGCCAACUCCUCUAUGUGGCAAAAUAGUGAGAAGACUUUUGAAUAGAGGUGACACGCCUACCGAGCCUGGUGAUAGCUGGUUGUCCAGCAAAACGAAUCCCAGUUCAAAUACAAGUCUACCCAAAACACACAUAAUUUAAAUGUAGACUUAAAAAUAGUCCAAAAGGGGACAGCCUUUUAGACACAGGAUACAACCUUAUCUAGAGAGCAAGCACAAGCAACACCACCCCAGUAGGCCUAAGAGCAGCCAUCAGUAAAGAAAGCGUUCAAGCUCAAAACCCAAACAAAAUUCCAAUCCCAAUAAAACCGGCCAGCCAACUCCUAGCAUAAAAACUGGACCAAUCUACAAUCAUGUAGAAGAGACAAUGUUAAUAUGAGUAACAAGAAAUCAUUUCUCCCAGCAUAAGUGUAUAUCAGAACGGAUGCCCACUGAUAGUUAACACCACCACAGACAACCACAUAACAAGCCCUCAGCCACUACAAUGUUAACCCAACACAGAAAUGCCUACGGGAAAGAUUAAAAGGAGUAAAAGGAACUCAGCAAACACAGACUCCGCCUGUUUACCAAAAACAUCACCUCUAGCAUAUCCAGUAUUAGAGGCAAUGCCUGCCCAGUGACACACGUUCAACGGCCGCGGUAUCCUAACCGUGCAAAGGUAGCAUAAUCACUUGUUCCCUAAAUAGGGACUUGUAUGAAUGGCCACACGAGAGUCUUACUGUCUCUUACCCCCAAUCAGUGAAAUUGACCUCCCCGUGAAGAGGCGGGGAUAAUAUAAUAAGACGAGAAGACCCUAUGGAGCUUCAAUUUCAAACAACCCAAAACAAUACCUACCCGUCCAAAAGGACUUAAAACAACAUUCAAACUGGGCUGACAAUUUAGGUUGGGGCGACCUCGGAGCAUAAAACACCCUCCGAGACAUUAUUAAACCGAGACUAACUAGUCAAGGACAUGAUAACUUAUAUGAUCCAAAAUUUUUGAUCAACGGAACAAGUUACCCUAGGGAUAACAGCGCAAUCCUAUUCAAGAGUCCCUAUCGACAAUCAGGGUUUACGACCUCGAUGUUGGAUCAGGACACCCCAAUGGUGCAGCAGCUAUUAACGGUUCGUUUGUUCAACGAUUAAAGUCCUACGUGAUCUGAGUUCAGACCGGAGCAAUCCAGGUCGGUUUCUAUCUAUUUUAUGUCUUUCCCAGUACGAAAGGACAAGAAAGACAAGGCCUCCUCAAAACAGAGCGCCCUAGCAAGCCAACACAUGACACAAUAUCAAUGUGGCCCGCAAUAACCAACACUCCCCCAGAUAAGGGGUCA